rnacentral:rRNA from 1 species
UACGGAGGGAGCUAGCGUUGUUCGGAAUUACUGGGCGUAAAGCGCACGUAGGCGGCUUUGUAAGUUAGAGGUGAAAGCCUGGGGCUCAACUCCAGAACUGCCUUUAAAACUGCAUCGCUUGAAUCCAGGAGAGGUGAGUGGAAUUCCGAGUGUAGAGGUGAAAUUCGUAGAUAUUCGGAAGAACACCAGUGGCGAAGGCGGCUCACUGGACUGGGUAUUGACGCUGAGGUGCGAAAAGCGUGGGGGAGCAAACAGG